GCCCUAUCCAAUGGAAUCCUGCCAUUUCAAACUCACUGCCUUGGCUUUCUAUAAGUUGUUUUAACUUUCACUUUAGGGAGGACAUGGAAUCUACUCACAAAGUAGGAGACCCUCCCUAAGUGCCAAGGUGAAGAAGAGAAGAUUACAAUGGAUCCCCUGCCAGCAAGUAUGAUAAGGAACAUCACCAGUCUAUGGAUAAUAUCAUAUUUAUAUUCUACAUAUUUAUUAUUUUUCUACAGAGAACGUUAUCAUCAAUGGCCCUUUCUCUGGCAGCUGAAUGGGAUCUUGACAGUGACUUUUUCAGUGGAAGUGGGUGUUUGUAUUUCUUACCUGUGGGCACAGCACAGUUGCAAAGGGUUUAUUUCCAAAGAAGAUUGGAUGAACUGGAUUGUUUGGGACCUCAUUUUGAUCUUCUUCUCAGUCUUUGGAAUAUUAAUUUUCUACAGUGGAUUUCAAUAUUUGUUCUCCAUUAUUAUUCUACUGAUGUUUUCAAUGAAUUUCACCAAUAUUGAGAACAUAAUUUUUCUGCUGCCUGUACUAAGGUUAACUUUAUCCCGGAUUCUGAGUCUCAUCAUAUGCAAGUGAUUCAGGAUAGGUGUGGUUUUCCCAUAACCAUGGUACAUCAAGACCAUCGCUGACAUGAGGCAUCAAAUGGCUCCUCAACUCUGUCCUGAUUGAUCCCUUCUAGUCUGGAGUUCUAUGAGGAUCAUCUGAGUCACAGAUUUGAUUUUUUUAUCACCUUUACUCAUUACUGUCAUGGGUGAGAGGUAGUGAUUCUUAGGUAUUUCUCAAUAAAGAACUACACUCUCACACACAAUCCAUUUAGAAUUAAAUAGUCUUAUUUGGCAUUAGUAAGGUGACU